AAACCGGCUGUGCUGGGUCUGCAAGGAGAAGGCUUUCCGACCUGUCAGCAGAAUCCGUCACAGAUUGAGCACUGCCCUGUGCAAGGCACGGUGGAGGGCACAGUGGACAUGGCCAUAAACUCAAGGAGUUCACCAAUCUGCUGGAGGAAUCAGGAGCACUUAUAGAGUAAACUAAUACUAGGAUAUCUGAAGUCGUUAGUUUGUCCUUGUGGAUAUCAGUAACCUGUGAGACCCUUUAAACUCCUGAGAUUCUAAGUACAACCCAGCUUGCUGGUGAGGCAUGAUAAUAUCAGCUGUACGACAGGCAUUCUUCUAAAGGAAUAUAUAUAUAUAUAUAUAUUUUUCCCCCCUAUUUAUUUGCCACAGUGAUCUUUUGUAGUUUCAAUAUUCUCAUUUUCAGAUGGAGAAACAUGGAACAGGAAGGUGAUGGGAUGAGCCAAAGAUCAUACAGGUAAGAAAUGAUGGAGUCGGGCUCCUUAUUCUCAGGUUCCAGAAGGUCACACCUUUAUCUUCCUGGUUCAGUCACCUGGAGUCAGGGAAGGUGGCUCUGGGAACCACACUGGAAGACAUUUCUUCUUCUCGGGUUGUGAGGGACUCACUGGUGGCUUCAGUUGAUGGGGUUCAACCCUUGAAUCCAGCACCAUGUCUGCUCCUGCCCUUGCUACUGAGGCUACUCAUAGUUGCAUUUAAUGCCCUGAGGGAGAAUUUGUUCAGCUUGCCCAGUGUCCAGCCAGAAUAUGAAAUUGUCUCAGGGAAUAGGUCUUCUGCCAGACACCUCAGAGGCUUUUGGUCUGCUUCCAGAUAGCUACCAUUACAGGAGAAGUAGAUGCCAGUGCAAUCAAUUGUGACUGGAAUGGUAGAGGUUGCAUGGUAGAGAGAAAUCAAAUCAUUCGCUGCAACCUGAAAGAGCUUGCACAACACAGGAAUCCACAAAGAAGGGGUGUGAUACCUCUAUCUCCCUAAUCAUGCUGAGUUGCUGCUUGCUGAUCACUCAGAAGCCUGAAAAAACAUACAUGUUUGCACAAGGUAUGUUUAUAAUAUUGGUAAUACUACCAAAAAAUAAAUCUAUCCAACUAUCCAGCCAUAAGAGAUUGUUUAAAUAAAUUCAGGUCCCCACAAACACCAGAUUACCAUAUAGCAAUUGAAAUCAAUGCUAUGUAAGUAAAUGUUUUAACAUUAAAAAAUGUUUUUUUCAAUUUUGUGUUAAAUGUCAAGAUCAACUUGAAAAACAGAAUGGAUAGUCUGAUCCUAUUUUCAUAAAGAAAAAAUGUAUUUGCAUGUUGUUUUAGGCUAUUUUGUUGUUGUUUCUAUAACUGAAUACCACAGACCAGGUGAUUUAUAAAGAAUGGAAGUUUAUUCACUUUAUGUUUCUGGAAGUCCAACAGCAUGGUGCCAACCUCAGCUUGGCAUCUGGUGAGGGCCUUCCUGCUGGGUCAUGACGUGGUAGAGGGUAUUACAUGGCGAGAAACAGGAAUCAUGCUAGCUCUACUUUCUCUUCUUAUAAAGAGGGGGCCCCAUCCCCAUGACCUCAUCUAAUCCUAAUUCCCUCCCAACGGCCCCACCUCCAAAUACAAUUACUAUAUGAUUUGGGGGAUUAAGUUCCUAAUACAUAAAAUUUGGGUGAUACCCUCCAUAACAUGCUUAUAGAAAGUAUUUUAAUUUAUAUACAUAAACAUUUAUAGAUAUUAUCUCUGAAGGAUUACAGGUUAGAUUAAGUUCUUUUGUUUAUUUGUAUUUUUUUGUAUUUGCAUUUUUUAUACAAUAAACCUGUUAUUUUUUAAAAACCUAAUGGUAUAUUAGAAAUAACCUGAGUUUUCUAAAAAAAAAUCAUAUCACCUUAAAUAUUUUUUAAAAAUUGAUUUGUUGUUCUCUCUUUCUUUCUUAUCCUAUUUUUGAUGGUAAGCAAAUACUGGUCAUUGUAGAGAAAAAUAUAGGCCCAUAGUUGACUUAAUAAUUAGAAUAUGAGAGCUGGAAGGGGCUUCAGAGAUCAUCAGGCCCAAUUCCUUAUUUAGCAGAUGAGAAGCUAGAUCCAGGGUCUUAGCUUGUUCCUGUAAAUUGUGGGUGACAAAACCUGGGCUGGAAUCCAGGUGCUAAGAUUCCCAGUGCAGGACAUUUCUACACCAUCAUGCCAGGCCAUUACAUUUGCCUCGGUGACGCACAGAGAGUAUUGGGAUCACUCUGCAGGGAGGUGUCAACUCUAAGCACAGGAAAGACAGUGAUGCUGAAGAUGGUCAGUCAGCUCUGCAGCUCUCCUCAGUGGCCAACUGCAGAUUCCACAGUGAGAGUUAAGACAAUGUCACCAGCGAUGGGAAGGCAAUUAUGGUAGCCUUUUCUGGAGAUCAGCUAUCUGGAAAGCUUGUAGGUGAGUCACAUGAAGGCAGAGGCCAGGCCCCGGGCUUCCCUCCCAGUUUCCUCCUCUUAUUCAAUUAUUGGGUCAUAAAUGCUACUUGAGAUAUUUUCAUUCUUCUCUUAACACUUAUCUUUCUGAAAAGUAGAGUAGUGUGCCCUUAACCCUUGUGAAACCAACUUCAGAUGUUGCAAUGAAACUAUUGCUUUGUCAACUUCUCUGCAGAAUUCUUUGCACUUGCACUAUUAUGUUAAGACUUUUGGUCACACACAUCAGAACUCCCACAUGAACCAAUUCAGGCAAAAGAGGGAAAGUACUAGCUCAAGAAAUCCAUGUAAAAGUUGACUCUCCAAACUGAGCAAAGGCUAGGGGGACAUGGAUCCAAGCCUUGGGAACCACAGGAACCAGAGACUUCAGGGCACCAAACCUUUGUCUCUCGUGUCUUUUCCUUACUCACGGUGGCUUCCUUCUCUUUCACUGCAGAGAGGCUGUCUCUAUUUCCUUGCCUGUAUUUCCAUGUGUCUCCAUCACCAGAAAUGAACUUAGCCAACGAUUUCUCAUCUGCUCCAAGUUAAGACAGCCCUCAAAAGGGCCAGUGUGGACCAGCUGGGACCAGAGUGCUGGGUCAUAUAAGAUGAAAAUUCCAACAUGAACACAUUGUUUGCCCCAGGGAAUGAAUGAAGGCCCCAGAAGAUGGAAAGGUCAGGGCCAAGACAUGGAUAUCCUCUCCCCCUCUCUGUUCUUAGAGAUAAUAAAUUUGAUGAGAAGAAACUGAACAAUUAAAUGGCAAGUGAGAAUCCUCAAGAAGUCAAAUAAAAAUCCUGGCCAAGAACAGCCUUCUUUUUCUUCUUCUUGUUUUUAAAAACAAUGGUUUUUUGCAUCCAGUGGGGGCAAAAACAAAAAACAAAACAACAACAACAACAAAAAACCUGCAGUGAAUCUCUGCUUGACUUGCCUCCCAAAGAAUCACACCUGGGUAUUUUAGGACCUAAGUCAAGUUUGAAGAACUGUGCUCCCUCUUCCCAGCCCUCUCUUUAGAAAACUAAACCAUGGGGGUAACAAUCCUGUAAUUUUAACUGUAUUUAUAAAUCCCUGAUUCUUUAUGUAGUGUUUUUUUUUCCUACACUGCACUUAGUCUGAAUGUUGCUAUUUUCACAGAGGAAAUCAGUGGAAAGAGACUAUAAUUAUAGGUCAAACACCAGCUCCGGAAGCAGUGAAGGCAGCAGAGAGCUGAGGACUCCCUGCGCUUUUCCGAUGACACUCUGGACAUCUCUUCCUUCUGUCCCCAAGCCUGGGCCAGCACUUCACCUCUUUAUCCCUAUAUCUUUGCCCCCUUUUGUUGGUCAGCCUCACAUAUCACAAGACAAAAAGGGAAGGUUGGAAUUGAAAGGUAACAAAUUAAACCUGCAUGAUGCUUGGGCAGGCCUGCUUCUUAGAGAUGAUUCAAACGGUAAAGAAAAGAAAAAAAAUUAAAAAAAA
rnacentral:lncRNA from 1 species